rnacentral:lncRNA from 1 species
GGCGUCGAGGCGGCGGUGCAGCGCGGCGGUGCGGCGGCCCAGGGCGGCCGCCUGGCCCUCGAGCUCGCCGAAGAUGUCCCCGGCGCAGCGCGACAGUGAUUGUCCGGUGUGACCCAGCUCAAAGCCAACGAAUUUGAAGAGGAAGC